rnacentral:rRNA from 1 species
ACGAAGAGGUAUCGUAAUUGAAGAGGUUUGGAAAGACCCACCACAGAAGGUAAUAGUCCUGUAUGUUAAACGAGAAGACUUCAGAUAUGAUCCAGAGUACCACGGGACACGUGAAACCCUGUGGGAAGCAGGAGGGACCACCCUCCAAGGCUAAAUACUACCUAGUGACCGAUAGCGUAUAGUACCGUGAGGGAAAGGUGAAAAGAACCCCGGGAGGGGAGUGAAAUAGAACCUGAAACCCUGCACUUACAAGCUGUGGAAGCACAUUUCUUGUGUGACCGCGUACUUUUUGUAGAACGGGCCAACGAGUUACGUUAAGUAGCAAGGUUAAGCACUUAAGGUGCGGAGCCGUAGCGAAAGCGAGUUUUAACUGAGCGUUCAGUUACUUGACGUAGACCCGAAACCGGGCGACCUACCCAUGAGCAGGAUGAAGCGAAAGUAAAAUUUCGUGGAGGUCCGAACCCACGAGCGUUGAAAAGCUCGGGGAUGACUUGUGGGUAGCGGUGAAAUUCCAAUCGAGCCCGGAGAUAGCUGGUUCUCCCCGAAAUAGCUUUAGGGCUAGCCUCAAGGUGAGAGAUACGGAGGUAGAGCACUGAAUGUCCUAGGGGGUAUUGCACCUACCGAAGACUAUCAAACUCCGAAUGCCGUCAUCUUAUACUUGGGAGUCAGACUGUGGGUGAUAAGAUUCAUAGUCGAAAGGGCAACAGCCCAGAUCGUCAGCUAAGGUCCCUAAAUGUAAGUUAAGUGGUAAAGGAUGUGGGAUUGCACAGACAACCAGGAUGUUGGCUUAGAAGCAGCCACUCAUUCAAAGAGUGCGUAAUAGCUCACUGGUCGAGUGAUCCUGCGCCGAAGAUUUCCGGG